rnacentral:misc_RNA from 1 species
GAUGAAGAACGUAGCGAAAUGUGAUAAGUAAUGUGAAUUGCAGAAUUCAGUGAAUCAUCGAAUCUUUGAACGCACAUUGCGCCCGCCAGUAUUCUGGCGGGCAUGCCUGUUCGAGCGUCAUUACAACCCUCAGGCCCCCGGGCCUGGCGUUGGGGAUCGGCGGAGCCCCCCGUGGGCACACGCCGUCCCCCAAAUGCAGUGGCGGUCCCGCCGCAGCUUCCAUCGCGUAGUAGCUAACACCUCGCGACUGGAGAGCGGCGCGGCCACGCCGUAAAACACCCAACUCUUCUGAAGUUGACCUCGAAUCAGGUAGGAAUACCCGCUGAACUUAAGCAUAUCAAUAAGCGGAGGA